GAUGAACGCUGGCGGCGUGCUUAACACAUGCAAGUCGAACGGUGAAAGAGAGCUUGCUCUCUGGAUCAGUGGCGAACGGGUGAGUAACACGUGAGCAAUCUGCCCCUGACUCUGGGAUAAGCGCUGGAAACGGCGUCUAAUACCGGAUACGAGCUGCGAAGGCAUCUUCAGCAGCUGGAAAGAACUUCGGUCAGGGAUGAGCUCGCGGCCUAUCAGCUAGUGGGUGAGGUAAUGGCUCACCAAGGCGUCGACGGGUAGCCGGCCUGAGAGGGUGACCGGCCACACUGGGACUGAGACACGGCCCAGACUCCUACGGGAGGCAGCAGUGGGGAAUAUUGCAUAAUGGGCGCAAGCCUGAUGCAGCAACGCCGCGUGAGGGACGACGGCCUUCGGGUUGUAAACCUCUUUUAGCAGGGAAGAAGCGAAAGUGACGGUACCUGCAGAAAAAGCACCGGCUAACUACGUGCCAGCCGCCGCAGUAAAAC
rnacentral:rRNA from 1 species